rnacentral:rRNA from 1 species
UACGUAGGCAGCGAGCGUUGUUCGGAGUUACUGGGCGUAAAGCGUGCGUAGGCGGUGGCCUAAGUCUGUUGUGAAAUCUCCCGGCUUAACCGGGAGGGUGCGGCGGAAACUGGGUUGCUGGAGUGCGGGAGAGGUAAGCGGAAUUCCUGGUGUAGCGGUGAAAUGCGCAGAUAUCAGGAAGAACACCCGUGGCUAAGGCGGCUCUCUAGUACGGUACUGACGCUGAGACGCGAAAGCGUGGGGAGCGAACAGG